UAAAAAGCGUAAAUGAAAGAGUAAGUAGCCUGAAAAAUUGUUUCAAGAGAGCUGACGGGUGGUGUGAGUCAGUAACAACAAUCAGUGUGAAUGGACUUUCUAGCUCUGAACUGAACGGGAAACUAAGUAGGAUUCAGCGACUAAGCCUUAUCGUUAUACAAGGCACCAUUUAGCAUUUGGCAGAUGGAAUAAAGCGAACUUAAAUUUUUAAGUUAAUCAAGGUGGCACCACGGGUCUUCCGUCCUUGUC
rnacentral:ncRNA from 1 species